AGAUAUAGUACUACAUUUCAUCAAUAUCAUGACAAGCAAGAUACUAUGGUUGAAAUCCUUAAUUGAUAUCUUGAAGAUCCUUGAAGUCAGAUUUUAUUCCUUCUUAUAUUAAAAUUCAAAAGAGUCAACAUUAAAUUAAGCAAUAAUGUAUUAAUAAACAAUCACCUUUCUUUAAUGUUUAUUCAUUUCGUUCGUGUAUAUUUUAGAAAUUAAGAAAUGAAAACUGUAACUGUACUAAGUUCAAUUUUCGUAUCGUUUAUAUGCCUUACGGAAAACCGACCUUUUCCGGAAUCGACUUUUGUUUUAUCACCGGAAAUGAUUUUGAAAUUUGAAUUUCGAAACGAAGACAGGAUAUCAACAAAGAGAGCCAAGAAAAUUGUUUGUUACGCGAUAUAUACUCACUUGGAGCUAAAAGAAAAGCCACAAAGGACAAGUUCAAUAUGCAGGUUUACAAUUUGGAAGUGGCGCAGGUUCUUUGGAAUGUCUACAACCUUUCAGUAGAAUUUUUUUUUGAAAAGCAUGGCACAGCAAGAAAAAGAUAUAAGACACUACAAGACAUUCCAAGUGAUUUUGAAUAAGACAAUUGAUUGACUUUUUCAAUGUAUUCUUAAAUAAAUCAAAUAGUUGAUGUAAAA